AUUGAACGCUGGCGGCAGGCUUAACACAUGCAAGUCGAGCGGAGAGAGGUAGCUUGCUACUGAUCUUAGCGGCGGACGGGUGAGUAAUGCUUAGGAAUCUGCCUAUUAGUGGGGGACAACAUUUCGAAAGGAAUGCUAAUACCGCAUACGUCCUACGGGAGAAAGCAGGGGAUCUUCGGACCUUGCGCUAAUAGAUGAGCCUAAGUCGGAUUAGCUAGUUGGUGGGGUAAAGGCCUACCAAGGCGACGAUCUGUAGCGGGUCUGAGAGGAUGAUCCGCCACACUGGGACUGAGACACGGCCCAGACUCCUACGGGAGGCAGCAGUGGGGAAUAUUGGACAAUGGGCGGAAGCCUGAUCCAGCCAUGCCGCGUGUGAAGAAGGCCUUAUGGUUGUAAAGCACUUUAAGCGAGGAGGAGGCUACUUUAGUUAAUACCUAGAGAUAGUGGACGUUACUCGCAGAAUAAGCACCGGCUAACUCUGUGCCAGCCGCCGCGGUAACAC
rnacentral:rRNA from 1 species